rnacentral:rRNA from 1 species
GACGAACGCUGGCGGCGUGCCUAAUACAUGCAAGUUGAGCGAUGAAGAUUGGUGCUUGCACCAAUUUGAAGAGCAGCGAACGGGUGAGUAACGCGUGGGGAAUCUGCCUUUGAGCGGGGGACAACAUUUGGAAACGAAUGCUAAUACCGCAUAACAACUUUAAACAUAAGUUUUAAGUUUGAAAGAUGCAAUUGCAUCACUCAAAGAUGAUCCCGCGUUGUAUUAGCUAGUUGGUGAGGUAAAGGCUCACCAAGGCGAUGAUACAUAGCCGACCUGAGAGGGUGAUCGGCCACAUUGGGACUGAGACACGGCCCAAACGCCUACGGGAGGCAGCAGUAGGGAAUCUUCGGCAAUGGACGAAAGUCUGACCGAGCAACGCCGCGUGAGUGAAGAAGGUUCUCGGAUCGUAAAACUCUGUUGGUAGAGAAGAACGUUGGUGAGAGUGGAAAGCUCAUCAAGUGACGGUAACUACCCAGAAAGGGACGGCUAACUACGUG